UACGAAGGGGGCGAGCGUUGUUCGGAAUUACCGGGCGUAAGGGGCGCGCAGGCGGCUCUGAAAGUCAGAUGUGAAAGCCCCGGGCUUAACCUGGGAAUUGCAUUUGAUACUCUGGAGCUUGAGUACGGGAGAGGAGAGUGGAAUUCCCAGUGUAGAGGUGAAAUUCGUAGAUAUCGGGAGGAACACCAGUGGCGAAGGCGGCGAUCUGGGAAGAUACUGACGCUGAGGUGCGAAAGCGUGGGGAGCAAACAGG
rnacentral:rRNA from 1 species